UGGGGAAUAUUGCGCAAUGGGCGAAAGCCUGACGCAGCGACGCCGCGUGAGGGAUGAAGGUUUUCGGAUCGUAAACCUCUGUCAGAAGGGAAGAAACCGCACUGUGCUAAUCAGCAGUGCCUUGACGGUACCUUCAAAGGAAGCACCGGCUAACUCCGUGCCAGCAGCCGCGGUAAUACGGAGGGUGCAAGCGUUAAUCGGAAUUACUGGGCGUAAAGCGCACGUAGGCUGCUUUGUAAGUCAGGGGUGAAAUCCCACGGCUCAACCGUGGAACUGCCUUUGAUACUGCUUAGCUUGAAUCCGGGAGAGGGUGGCGGAAUUCCAGGUGUAGGAGUGAAAUCCGUAGAUAUCUGGGGGAACAUCAGUGGCGAAGGCGGCCACCUGGACCGGUAUUGACGCUGGGGUGCGAAAGCGUGGGGAGCAAACAGG
rnacentral:rRNA from 1 species